UUUCCAGACUCCUACGGGAGGCAGCAGUGGGGGAUAUUGCACAAUGGGGGGAACCCUGAUGCAGCGACGCCGCGUGGGUGAAGAAGCGCCUCGGCGCGUAAAGCCCUGUCAGCAGGGAAGAAAAUGACGGUACCUGAAGAAGAAGCCCCGACUAACUACGUGCCAGCAGCCGCGGUAAUACGUAGGUGGCAAGCGUUGUCCGGAUUUACUGGGUGUAAAGGGCGUGCAGCCGGGCUGACAAGUCAGAUGUGAAAUCCCGCGGCUCAACCGCGGAACUGCAUUUGAAACUGUCAGUCUUGAGUACCGGAGAGGUCAUCGGAAUUCCUUGUGUAGCGGUGAAAUGCGUAGAUAUAAGGAAGAACACCAGUGGCGAAGGCGGAUGACUGGACGGCAACUGACGGUGAGGCGCGAAAGCGUGGGGAGCAAACAGGAUUAGAUACCCCAGUA
rnacentral:rRNA from 1 species